CACCUCACUGUGCCACAAACACACUGCAAUAAAACCCCAAAUUGCUUUGGAUAAAACAAAUGGCUUUGUCACUAGAGGGAUAAGCAAAGGGGACAUGAAUAAAAUAGCAACAAACAAAGGGAGAGUAGGGGGAGUUGAGACGAGCUACGGACUUCAGCAGCUGGCCGCGUCUCCGGGGUAAGAAUUGAUGAGGGUCAUCUGCACUCCUCCGAUGAGUGAAAGGGCACUCUCUCCGUCUACAGAGGCAGAGGAAAUUCAUUGAAGAAAAAAGAAAUAAACCAAGAGGCCAGAAUUGCUUUCAGAAUCAACCACUUCAUUUCAUGGCUGGUGUAGCAGCUGUGGUACUGCUGAAACAUCUAGCAGAGAAAUACGGAGACAUUCCAAUAUCAUGACUCACUGGUGCAUGUCCUACACAGUCUUCUCUCCCCACAUGUAGGAAAUGCAGAAGAAAAAAUGUAUCAAAAGAGCAACCGACUCUCCCUCCUCCCUGGUCGGAGGAAACAAGAUGAAAACAAUCUAGUGUCUCCUCUCCGUUGCCGUCAUAAAUCAGAGAGGACUACGGUGGACGGAAGACACGCAGGACUCUGCAUCAUAAUUAAAACACUCAUCCUAUAUUCCACAGCCACACGCACACUCUUACGCACACACACACCAAGCCUCUUAGUUUUGACUCCGAAGCAAACCCAUUCCUAAUUAAAAAUACAAAAAUAGUGCCAAUAGUGCACAAUAAACAACUGAAAAGAUGUUGCUGCCCUUGUUGUCAUUGAUUAAUUGCGGCACGCCACCUUAUCAUUUAGUUCAGCAUGAUUAAUGACAAAUUAAAUAAAUAAACUCCUCUGCAUUUUGCAUGGGACUCAUUUUUUUUCAGGGGGUUUCAAACAGGUUUGAAAUAGGAGAUCAUCAGCGACGUGCGAAAUGGCACAAAUGAAAAGGCCAUUGUUCUCAACUUAACUGGAGGACACGUGGUUUUCAGGAGGAAGUGAAAAGGCUCUGUGGAAAUCAGCGAGACACACUCAACCUAAGCCACAAUGGCAAAGAAUUCAACUUGUUGCUUCGACACUUGGACGACGGGAACCAAAAAAGGGGUGAGAGAAACAGAGGGGGGACAGUCACUGAGGGAGCACAAAGACACUGAACAGAAGUUGGCUGUUUCUAUUCUCCUUCGCUGCUGGGAAACGGUCUGAUUGAUCUACACAAAAUAAGAGGAGAAGUCUGCCCUCCCCCUUUCUUCCUCUCCCAACAUCACCCCAUCUCUCCCUCCUCUCAAUUAUCAAGGUGAUGCCCCAGAUGUACAGGCAAUUAUGCAUUAAAUUCCUUUUAAAUUAGGUGGCGUGUAAACAAUGCACCAGGAGGUUGAAGGCACGGCCCCUCCAUUUCUCAAUUUAGACUCAUUGAUUGCCCUCCCCAAAUCUGGUUGCUUCCAUUAUGGGCUGCAUUAUGUGCUGCCUGAAUACCAAAAGGAUUAGGAUGAGGCCAUUCAAAGUCUUAACACGUAAAACCUGGUGGUUUUAAUGAAUUUGGGGAGCACUUUACAUUAAGUUACCCCUAUGACUAUAUAUCUACACAGUAAUAACUAGUAACAACAUAGUUACGUGUUACUAUGUCAUUAUGUGGUAAUAAGGGUGUAGAGCUAAUAGCUAUCAGUUAUUACACAAUUGGAACAAGGAAUGUGUAAUUACACAUCCACUGGCCGAAGGUUAUUCCACGUGUGUAAUUAUUGAUGCUAUGACACAUUUUCUUGUUACACUAUGUAAAUAAUGUUGUGUAAUUACACAUUUGAAAGGCACCUGUGAAUUACCAUGUUAAUAACUGUACCUUGUUAAACAUGCAACAUUUGUGAGGAGAAAUGUGAGGAGAAUUGACAGACGUUAACAGUGACUACAUGCUUACGGCUAAUAGAUUUAUGAGAAUCUUUGUGACAUGCCUUGAGGCAGGUGUGUUGAAAAUAAUGUUCUGUUCAGAUCAGGUUCAUUGGAUAUUUAUUGACUUGACUUGAGUUGAGUUCACAGAUUCACGCUUUUAAGAUUGUUUGUGCGUCAUCCAUCCAGUUAAAAGAUCAAGACUCAUAAUCAAUGUUCCCUCAAAUGUUUUACGUCACUGAGAAAAUUUCAGGUCUGCUGAGCGCAACUUGAAUUUUGUGAAAAUUCUGUGUAACUUCCAACGUACGUUUACUGUGAACA